rnacentral:rRNA from 1 species
GGCUCAGCGGUAAGGUUAUUGGCUAGAUUUAGACAUGCAAGUCGAAAGCCCUAAGUGGGCUCCUAGAGUACACUUGAGGCUUGGCGAACGGGCGAGUACAAAAGGUGAACAUACCUCCUGAUCUGGGAUAAGUAGAUCAUUCUGCAAAUACCGGAUAACUAAAAAAAAGAUUCAUCGUCAGGAGAUUGGCACCUUUCCCAUCAGAUUGUUGGUAUGGUAAUGGCAUACCAAGUCGAAAACGGGUAGCGGGUCUUAACGGAUGGUCCGCCGCACUAGAACUGAGAACUUUCUAGACUCUUUCGAGAGGCUGCAGUCGAAAACAUUGGGCAAUGGAGGAAACUCUGACCCAGCUAAGCCAGAUGAGGGAUGACAGUUAUUUGAUUGUAAACCUCAGACGUUGGUGAAAAUAAUGAUAUGAACCAACUGAAUAGUCCUGUCUAAGUCCGGUGCCAGCAGACGCGGUAACACCGGCGGGACGAAUCUUCCGCGAAUUGACUAGGCGUAAAGCGUUCGUAGGCUGUCCAUGAGGCUGGUAGCAAAAUCUAUGUGCCCAACACAUAACCAUUACCAGAACCGAUGGACUAGAGUUUGGGAGAAGGUGGUAGAAUUCCCAAGGGAGGGAUAAAAUUCAUAGAUCUUAGGAGGAACACCAGUGGCGAAAGCGACCACCUAGACCAAUACUGACGCUCAGGAACGAAAGUAUGGGGAGCGAAAAGGAUUAGGUACCCUUGUAGUCCAUACCGUAAACGAUGUCAGCUAAAUGAGUNGGAUACGUAUAAAAAACACCCNGCUNNUUACAGGUAACCCGUUAAGCUGACCGCCUUCGGAGUACGAGCGCAAGCUUAAAAAGAAAAAGAAUUGGCUGUAGUAGAUAUAUUGAGUGGAUGAUGCUAUUUAAUGAGUCAAUACGCUCGAACCUUACCAGUAGUUGCAUGACCCGUUGUACCCCGAGAGAUCAGGGUAUGUUAAAGGGCCACAUUUGUUGCAUGGCCGUCGUCAGCUCGUGUCUUGAGAUGUUCGGUUAAGUCCGACCAACGAGCGCAACCCUUGUUCCUAGGAUUCGAACAAUCCCAAACUAGGAAAAUCGCUGAUGAUAAAUCAGACGAAAGUGAGGAUUACGACAGGUUUCAUGGCGAUCAUAUACUGGGCUAUCAGCAUCAUAUAAUGGCGUGGAACAAAAGGCUGCAAAAGCGUGAGCUGGAGCAAAACCCCAAAACACGUCUCAGUUCGGAUUGAAGUCUGCAACUCGACUUCAUGAAGUAAGAAUUCAAAGUAAUCGUGUUUAAGUAGUGACACGGUGAAAUUUACCUCUACUGAGUACACAUUGUCCAUCACACAGGAUGAAGGCAAGUUCGGCGAAGUUUUUUAAAUAACC